UGCAGCAACGCCGCGUGAGGGACGACGGCCUUCGGGUUGUAAACCUCUUUUAGCAGGGAAGAAGCGAAAGUGACGGUACCUGCAGAAAAAGCACCGGCUAACUACGUGCCAGCAGCCGCGGUAAUACGUAGGGUGCAAGCGUUGUCCGGAAUUAUUGGGCGUAAAGAGCUCGUAGGCGGUUUGUCGCGUCUGCUGUGAAAUCCCGAGGCUCAACCUCGGGUCUGCAGUGGGUACGGGCAGACUAGAGUGCGGUAGGGGAGAUUGGAAUUCCUGGUGUAGCGGUGGAAUGCGCAGAUAUCAGGAGGAACACCGAUGGCGAAGGCAGAUCUCUGGGCCGCUACUGACGCUGAGGAGCGAAAGGGUGGGGAGCAAACAGGCUUAGAUACCCUGGUAGUCCACCCCGUAAACGUUGGGCGCUAGAUGUGGGGACCAUUCCACGGUUUCCGUGUCGUAGCUAACGCAUUAAGCGCCCCGCCUGGGGAGUACGGCCGCAAGGCUAAAACUCAAAGGAAUUGACGGGGGCCCGCACAAGCGGCGGAGCAUGCGGAUUAAUUCGAUGCAACGCGAAGAACCUUACCAAGGCUUGACAUAUACGAGAACGGGCCAGAAAUGGUCAACUCUUUG
rnacentral:rRNA from 1 species